UGGUCUGAGAGGAUGAUCAGUCACACUGGAACUGAGACACGGUCCAGACUCCUACGGGAGGCAGCAGUAGGGAAUAUUGCGCAAUGGGGGAAACCCUGACGCAGCAACGCCGCGUGGAGGAUGACACUUUUCGGAGCGUAAACUCCUUUUCUUAGGGAAGAAUUCUGACGGUACCUAAGGAAUAAGCACCGGCUAACUCCGUGCCAGCAGCCGCGGUAAUACGGAGGGUGCAAGCGUUACUCGGAAUCACUGGGCGUAAAGGGCGCGUAGGCGGAUUAUCAAGUCUCUUGUGAAAUCUAAUGGCUUAACCAUUAAACUGCUUGGGAAACUGAUAGUCUAGAGUGAGGGAGAGGCAGAUGGAAUUGGUGGUGUAGGGGUAAAAUCCGUAGAUAUCACCAAGAAUACCCAUUGCGAAGGCGAUCUGCUGGAACUCAACUGACGCUAAGGCGCGAAAGCGUGGGGAGCAAACAGGAUUAGAUACCCUGGUAGUCCACGCCCUAAACGAUGUACACUAGUUGUUGGGGUGCUAGUCAUCUCAGUAAUGCAGCUAACGCAUUAAGUGUACCGCCUGGGGAGUACGGUCGCAAGAUUAAAACUCAAAGGAAUAGACGGGGACCCGCACAAGCGGUGGAGCAUGUGGUUUAAUUCGAAGAUACGCGAAGAACCUUACCUGGGCUUGAUAUCCUAAGAACCUUUUAGAGAUAAGAGGGUGCUAGCUUGCUAGAACUUAGAGACAGGUGCUGCACGGCUGUCGUCAGCUCGUGUCGUGAGAUGUUGGGUUAAGUCCCGCAACGAGCGCAACCCACGUAUUUAGUUGCUAACGGUUCGGCCGAGCACUCUAAAUAGACUGCCUUCGUAAGGAGGAGGAAGGUGUGGACGACGUCAAGUCAUCAUGGCCCUUAUGCCCAGGGCGACACACGUGCUACAAUGGCAUAUACAAUGAGACGCAAUACCGCGAGGUGGAGCAAAUCUAUAAAAUAUGUCCCAGUUCGGAUUGUUCUCUGCAACUCGAGAGCAUGAAGCCGGAAUCGCUAGUAAUCGUAGAUCAGCCAUGCUACGGUGAAUACGUUCCCGGGUCUUGUACUCACCGCCCGUCACACCAUGGGAGUUGAUUUCACUCGAAGCCGGAAUACUAAACUAGUUACCG
rnacentral:rRNA from 1 species